rnacentral:rRNA from 1 species
GAUGAACGCUGGCGGCGUGCCUAAUACAUGCAAGUCGAACGGACAGGCGCGGCUCUUGCGGGGUGCUCGUUUGGCGAACGGGGGAGUAAAACGCGUGUAACACGCCCUUGUCUUUGUGGUAUCUUUACGAAACAGGGGCUAAUACCGGGUAGAAUAUUCUGCUGCAUGUUGGUGGUUGGAAAGUGUCGGCGGUGGGGGAUGGACUAGCGGCUUAUCAGCUUGUUGGUGAGGUAGGGGAGUACCAAGGCUUUGACGGAUAGCCGGCCUGAGAGGGGGGCCGGGCACCUUGGGCCUGAGAGACGGCCCGGAAUGCUACGGGAGGCAGAGGGCGGGAGUAUUGCACAAUGGGGGGAAGCCAGAUGCAGCAGCGCCGCGUGCGGGAUGACGGCCUACGGGUUGUAAACCGAUGUCGACUGUGCCGAAGCGUGAGUGACGGUAAUGAGUAAAGAAGCACCGGCUAACUACGUG